AAGUGACAUCAUAUGGUUUUCGUCUUUCUCUGACUUACUUCACUCAGGAUGAAAGUCUCUAGUUCCAUCCAUGUUGCUGCAAAUGGCAUUAUGUCAUUCUUUUUUAUGUCCAAGUAGUAUUCCAUUGUGUGUAUAUACCACAUCUUCCUAAAACAGGAUAUAGUAUAUUUAGCAGAACAUAAACUGGAAAUUAAACCAAACACACACAGACAAAACAACAUAACUACGGCUCUUUCCAAGAUGCUUUGGCUAUUACUUAGGUUUGCAUAAGUUGAUAUGCAUAUAUAACAUUUCAGUACAGUUAAUCAUUUCUUAUUGGGCUACAUCUCUUCCUAAAAACUAUUAGAAAUUUUCCUCUGUCAAAUGUAUUAUUUUCUUUCAUAGCAAAGUCAAGUGUAUUGUUUUCUUUAAUAUCAACAUUUCUCACAAACGAAUGGAUAUUUUUGGUUGAUAACUGAUUCACUUUGCUGUAUACCUAAAGUUAACACAAUAUUGUAGGUCAAAAAGGCUCCAAUAAAAUUUUCUUUGUGUUUGACAUCUACGUUCAUUGUAGUGAAAUGCCUACCUCAAUAACUUAAAUAGUGAAACUUGAAGUAAAUUGAACUAGUCUUGCACAGCUUCAGAGGGCCCAGACUACUACCAUUAAAAAUGAAGUCUGAACAAAUCUAAGCAGGAAUGGACACUCAUCUUGUGGAGCACAAACAGGAGCCCUCAGACUUAGUUCUUGUGACAGAAUACAGAAUGGCAUGAUAGUCGGGCGAAGUCCUAAGCAGGCCAUUUCUGGUAAAGGUAUGAGCUCCCAUUUGCUUGACCACAUUACAAUCCUAAAUAAUGGAAAAGAAGAUAAAUUCAUUGUGAUGAUUUGGGUGAUUUAAUGAUCCUCAGAUAUCAUUAGAGCCACACAGCAACUGAAAAUAUGACAUCACACCCUAUUUCCCAGUGGCGUACCCAACACUAAGACGGAGUCUUAACAGCAACAUAAAAUAAUCUGGAGGUGCCCAAGCAAAUGGGUAGGUCUUCCCCUCCACUGGCACUCCUGCAGACCACCCCUCUACUGCUUCUGGUUGCUCAAUUUCAAGUAGACCCCCUGAUUUCUGACCAACUAGGAGAGCCCCUCCAUCCACAUCAGGCCAAUCUGUAGCCAUUCCAAUGCCAAACUGAAGCAAUGUUCCCAGGGUUUCUGAUAUAUGCUAACUAGAGUGGACUCUAUUCUCCCUGGAACCUAUUUGCUUUAGGUUUCUUUGUGUUUUCAGCUCUUGAAGGCUUUCAUAAAAUAUGGUUUGGGAGUACCUGUUUUUGUUUUGUUUUUUGCUAGUGAAGCGAGUGGGAUGUAUGUGGAUAGUGUGGUGGUGUAACCUUCUCAGUCUUAUCCGUGCAGUCUUCUUGACACAGUGACCAUUCUGCUGAUGAAUGCAGAGAUUGGUUUGUCAUUAAGCUAUAGGAGAAGCUGAAAUGUAUACCAAAGCAAACUGGAUAUGGAGCAAAGCAUGAUAUUUAUGUGUGUGUAGAUAAUUACUGGACAGUAUAUUUAGGAGAGAACAUGUGGCAGGUAAGUAGAGGUGGAUAUGAGAGGGGGGACUGGGUAUUGGGGCACCUAAAAUAAUUAGUCCACAGGGGGAGAAUGUAUUAUUCACCUGAUAUGAUUUCAUGGUGAUUUUAAGGAAUAAGAUUCUAGAGUCAAUAAUGAAUAUGAAUUUAUGACAUGGGAUAUGAAAACCAAUGAUAGUUAUGUUUAUACCAUUAAAAAAAUCCUUUAACACAUUGUGCCAGACUGGGGCUCAAACCUGUGCCUCUGCAGCUAUCCAGGCCAUUGCAGGUGGAGCCUUAACCCACUGCACCACAGUGGUAACUCCACUGCUCCAUUUUAUCUCCUUGUGAUAAUGAAGUUAAUUUUAAGUGAGCAUCUUGGAAACUGUGAUCUUGAUUAUGAUACGACAUCUUUCUAACUUCCUCAUCUAUAGAAUAGCAUUGACAAAAUUUUUAACUGAUAGGCUGGCUGAGAUGAGGUAACCAAUACUACUUAUUAGAACAUUUUUUGAUUGCAUAUUUUGAGACUAUUUUCUCCAAUUCUGUAUGUUGUCUUUUUUUUUUUAUGGUUUCCCUUUGUUGUGCCAGAGCUUGUCAGUUUGAUUAUGUCCCAUUGGUUUAUUUUUGCUUUUAUUUCUGUUGCCUUGGGAAAUUGACCUAAGAAAACAUUGUAAGGUUGAUGGCAUAGAAUGUUUUGCCUAGGUUUUCUUCCAUGAGUUUGAUGAUGUCUUGUCUUAUGUUUAAGUCUUUAAGCCAUUUUGAGUUUAUUUCUGUGCAUGGUGUGAGGGUGUGUUCUAGUUUCAUUGAUUUUCAUGUGGCUGUCCAGUUUUCCCAGCAUCACUUGCUGAAAAGACUGAGAAUCUGGGGUUAAAGGAUGCAAAUUAUUGCCUUUGGAAUGCAUUAGCAAGGAGAUUCUGCUGUAUAGCCUUGGGAAUUAUAUCUACUCACUUAUGAUGGAGCAUGAUGGAGGAUAAUGUGAGAAAAAGAAUAUAUAUGUGUAUGUGUGACUGGGUCACUUUGCUGUACAGUGGAAAAUUUACAGAACACUGUAAACCAGACAUAAUGGAAAAAAUAAAAAGCAUUUUUUAAAAACUGAAUGCAAAGUAAAUUAAGCUGAUUUUGCACAGCUUUCAGAGGGACAAGACUACUCCUAUGAAAAUAUUUUCUGACAUGUAGAAAUGCAUGGACACUCAUCCUGUGGGACACACAGGAACCCUCUCACUUUGUUCUUGUGACAGAAUACAGGAAGUCAUGGUAACCAAGUGAGGUCCUAAUCCGGCUGCUUCUAGUAAAGGGAAGAGAUCCCAUUUGCUGACAGCAUGGGUCUUUACAAUCCUAAAUUAAUCGAAGUGAUGAAAAAUUCAUUGUGAUGAAUUGUGUGACUUGAUGAUCCAUCAUUACAGCCACACAGCAACUAGAAGAUGACAUCACAACCUAUUUUCCAGUGGUGUACCCAAACUAAGACAGAGCCUUGACCACCACCUUUUUCCCUUUGAACAUUUUGCAAACUUCCAAUUGCAGGUACAUUACAAGUUAUUACAUACCUUGUAGGGUAUGUAAGUAUCAGUUAGGAUUCAGUGAACAAAAGAGAAACCAAUGAGUCAUUUUAAUGGAGAAAAUUUAAUAUAGGAGUUGGUUAAAGGCAAAAAAGAACAAAGCAUAACACAACUAUCAUAAGUGUAGGAAGAAGUUACUACACCUAAGGAAUGAGGGUAUAAAGGGAAAAGUUGAACACUUAGGUUGAGCAUUUCAGGCAAAGAGACUUUUUCUGACCAUUCUUGAAUAAAUGUAAGAUGAACACAGGAUGGAAAAUAGAGCAGUAAUUUCAAGAGCCCCAUCCUAAAGCAAAGUAUAGAAGUGUGGGUUCGGAACAGAAACAAUGCCUUCACAAACAGCACAUAAGCCAAGCUCUAAUGGUAUAGAGAGACACCUUAUGUGAAGAAUCAUAAACAGAAGUAAUGGUGAUGGGGUUCCUGUUGUGGCACAGUAGGUUAAGUAUCAGAUGCCUCCUCUGUGAAGAUGAAAGCUCAAACCCUCGCUGUGCUUAGUGGGUUAAGGAUCCAGUGUUGCCGCAAUCUACAGCACAGGUCACGAAUAUGGCUCAGAUCCUGUGUGGCUGUGGCUGUGGUGUAGGCCUGAAGCUUCAGCUCUGGUUUGACCCAUUACCCAGGGAAUUUCCAUAUGCCACAGGUGUGGCAGCUUAAAAAAUAAAGAAAGAAAAGAAUUAAUGGGGAAAAUAAACUGCCCGUUGCUAUAGUAGACUCUUCAUAUCUUCUGCCUUUGAGCUCUGAUCUCUUUAGGAUCUUCUUCUAUGAGCAAUUAGAAACCAAGCCAUAGAGGUCAACUUGGAAUGAAAGAUGUUUCUUAGAUCAGAAGUUCCCUACCUAGGCCAUAAACUCUAACCACCUAGGUGCUUUAAAAAAAAUCCUCAUGCUCCAGACACAACCCAUUCAAUUAUCAGGAAAUCUGAUGUUGAGAUCCAGUUGUCAGCAUUUUUAAGCAUCCUGGAAGAUUUCAAUAAAAGCCAAGCUUGAGAAGCAGUGGCAUGAUUCUUCAUACAUAUCCUGCAUAAACAGUUUGGAAAAAAAGUUGUCAAAAAUAAUAGACAUUUUCAAUAAUAAAAAGAGAGCUGGUCAUCUUUUCAGGAAGCUUGGGUCAACAUGAUAAACUACAGACAUCUCCAUAGAUACAAUAAGAGUUAGCCAUGCAGUAAUUAUGAUAUGCAAACAUCCCAGAAUACUCUCCUAGUCCCAUGAAAGACAUAUCAAAUGAAGCAAUAUUCAAAUGUGAGGCAAUGAUAGGGAUGAAGGCCAUAAGAGCUACAAAAAGAUGUAAUGUGAGAGGAAGACUUUUCAGGUCUAGACAUUGCAUUUUGCUGCAUGUUCCAAUCUACAUUCCAAAUGGAUGACACGAGUACUUAGAUUAGGUAGUUUUGCUGAGGAACCUCCUCAUGGCUCUUUUGAUGUUUCUGUUCCUCAGGCUAUAGAUGAAGGGGUUCAGCAUGGGGGUGACCACAGUGUACAACACUGAGGCCACUGCAUCCUUCCUGGGAAAAUGUGAGACAGCUGAGCUGAGAUACACCCCAAGGCCUGUUCCAUAAAAUAAGCAAACACCUGCCAGGUGAGACCCACAGGUGGAGAAGGCUUUAUACCUCCCACCUGAUGAAGAGACUCUCAGAACGGAGGAAAGAAUUCGAGUAUAAGAGAAAAUGAUCCCUGAGACCUGAGUACCACCAUAAACGGCGCCAACAAAAUACAUGACUAUGUUAUUGGUGAGAAUAUCAGAACAGGCUAGCUUGAGGAGCAGAGAAGGGUCACAGAAGAAAUUGGAAAUGUCCACAUCCUUGAAGCAGGGAAUUUGUAUCACAAUCCAAUUGUGCACCUGGGAGUCCAAAAGGCUGAUGAAAAAAGACACCAAAAGUAAGAAGCAACAUAGGGGUGGGUUCAUGAUGACCGGGUAGUGCAGUGGGUGACAGAUGGCCAGGAACCUGUCAUAGGCCAUCACAGUCAGUAGAGUACUAUCCAUACAUCCAAAAAGAGUAAAAAUAGACAUCUGAGUUAAGCAGCCUGCAUAGGAGAUGACUCUGCUGUGAGUUUGUAUGUUCACAAUCAUCUUGGGGACAGUGGUAGAGAUGAAGCCCAUGUCAGUCAAGGACAGGUUGCAGAGGAAGAAGUACAUGGGGGUGUGAAGGUGGGAGUCAGAGGUAACAGCCAGGAUGAUGAGCAGGUUCCCCAACAUGGUGACCAGGUACAUGGACAGGAACAGCCCAAGGAGGAGGGGCUGCAGUUCUGGAUCAUCUGAGAGGCCCAGGAGGAAAAAUUCUGAAACCCUUGUUUGAUUUAUGGUUAGAUCUCUGGUUCUGUGCAGCUUUUUUAAAAACAAAAACAACAAAAAAGAGGGUUGAAAAUAAGGAAAGACGGGAGUUCCCUUAGUGGCUCAGUGGUUAACGAAUCUGACUAGGAACCAUGAGGUUGCGGGUUCGAUCCCUGGCCUUGCUCAGUGGGUUAAGGAUCCAGUGUUUGCCAUGAACUGUGGUGUAGGUCACAGAUGCGGCUUGGAUCUGGCCUUGCUGUGGCUAUGGUGUAGGCCAGUGGCUACAGCUCUGAUUAGACCCCUAGCCUAGGAAGCUUCAUAUGCUAUAGGAGUGGCCCUAGAAA
rnacentral:lncRNA from 1 species